GACGAACGCUGGCGGCGUGCCUAAUACAUGCAAGUCGAACGCAGUGGGGACGGGUGAGUAACACGUGGGUAACCUCCCAUCAGAGGGGAUAACACUUGGAAACAGGUGCUAAACCGAUACUGAUGGAUGGACCCGCGGUGCAUUAGCUAGUUGGUGAGGUAACGGCUCACCAAGGCCACGAAGCAUAGCCGACCGAGGGGUGUAGUGGGCCACGCUGGGACUGUGACACGGCCCAGACUCCUACGGGUGGCAGAAGUAGGGAAUCUUCGGCAAUGGACGAAAGUCUGACCGAGCAACGCCGCGUGGGUGAAGAAGGUUUUCGGAUCGUAAAACUCUGUUGUUAGAGAAGCGGUAUCUAACCAGAAAGCCACGGCUAACUACGUGCCAGCCGCCGCGGUAAUUC
rnacentral:rRNA from 1 species